GGGGUGAUUGAUGGGUGGGGAGUGCUCUUAUUCUGGACAGCAGAUAUGGCUGGGAGCUUGUCUCCGAGUGUGAAAUACUGGCCGUUUGCAGCAAAAGCUAGUUUUUCCUUUGGUAUCGACAGGGCCAGCACGCAUGUCACUCUCUGUGCCUGUGGUGCCCUGCUCGAUACGGGACUAGCGCAGAUCCAGACGGGGGAAGGGCCGGAGCCCGGAACUCCGUUGUGGGGGGAACAAGUUUCCAGCCGGAAUCCGCAGCUGAGCUCCGUCCUUCGCUCCCUUAGUUGCUUGGUUACGCCGCCGACAGCGAGCUAGCGGGAGCGGAGGGUGUGCUCUUGAUACUGGCUCGGCUGCGACGCACCCUGCCGGGGUUGGCGGCAACGCGGUGUGUUGAGUGGCCGGGCACCCGUCCGGGUCCGCGCCGGGAUGAUGCUGGAGCAGGACAACGGGCUCUCGUUGGCCAUCGCGCAGAUCGUGCAGCGCCUGAAGGGCUCCAGCCUGCACUCCCAGCUGGAGCGGCAGGCCCGGGGUAGUCUGCACAAACCAGAAAUUAAACUUGAAUCGCUAAAGGAAGAUAUUAAGGAAUUUCUGAAGACCUCAGGAUGGGAAAAGAAGCUUCAGAAUGCUGUUUAUAGUGAACUCAGUGUGUUCCCUUCACCCUGUCAUCCAGCAGCACCUCCUGAGCACAUCAAGGAGCCCUUGGUAUACAUGAGGAAAGCACAGGGAAGCUGGGAGAAGCGAAUUCUGAAGAGUCUAAAUAGCAUGUGCACAGAACUCAAUAUCCCAUUAGCACAAAAGAGACCUAUAGGAGAACAAAAAGAACUUCUUAAUAAAUGGAAUGAAAUGGGAACUGAUGAGCCAGAUCUAAGUCUCUUUCGACCUGUUUAUGCGCCUAAAGAUUUUCUGGAGGUACUGAUGAACCUUCGCAACCCAAAUUAUGAAAACGGGGAUCAGCCUAGUUUCAGAAAUCACCUGGGUCUAAUUCAGGUUCCUCUGAAAGUUAAAGACAUCCCUGAACUGAGAGACUCUUUCAGUGAGCUAGGCUUGACUACAGGGCAGCUGGGUAUUGAUGAUUCUACACAAGUACCUCCAGAACUCUUUGAAAAUGAACAUGUACGUGUUGGACAAAUAGUUUUAACAGAACAAGAUAGUGCUGCAGCCCAACAGUAUGUCCGUCAGGGAUGCCCAACAGCACUCCGAGCUGAAUUGUGGGCACUCAUUCUGAAUAUUUCUAAUCAGCCUGAGGACAUUUUGUACUACGAACAGCUUAAAUCCAAUGUGAUUCAGCAUGAUCUUUUAGUGGACAGCCUGAUUUACAAAGACGUAAAGCUGACAGCAAGCAAUGAUGACUACUAUUUUGUAUUUGAGGAUUAUUUAUAUCAGGUACUGCUCUGUUUUUCCCGAGAUACAUCAGUACUGGAGCACUUUUCUUAUAAUAGUGCUACUCCACCCAAAUCGUAUAUACGAGGAAAACUCGGAAUGGAAGAAUAUGCUGUUUUUUAUCCACCAAAUGGUGUAAUCCCUUUUCAUGGCUUUUCAAUGUAUGUUGCUCCACUUUGUUUUCUGUACCAUGAACCUUCCAAAUUGUAUCAGAUAUUCCGUGAGAUGUAUGUGCGUUUUUUCUUCAGACUCCAUUCCAUCUCUUCUCAUCCCUCUGGCAUUGUGUCACUAUGUUUGUUAUUUGAGACACUUCUUCAAACCCAUCUCCCUCAGCUCUUUUAUCAUCUUCGAGAAAUUGGGGCACAACCACCUUGAGAAGAAGUCAGCGUUGCUAUGCUUCGUCUCCGCCCGAUAUAGUACCUCGAACUUGUAGGGCUGUAAGGCUAGAUACCACCUCAUUAUUCAUGGGUUAGUAUCCUUCAUCGACUGGAGCCACCAUAGUGGAGCAUGGUCUGUUAUCAGUUUAAAAGGAUUCCUGAGCAGUACCUCAAAGCCUCUAUUGCCCACUUCACCACCAACGCCUCCUUUUCUAUGGUCAAGUAAGUCUGCUCUCUGGGGAAUAGCUUUCAGCUCAAGUAUAAUACUGGAUGUUCUUCCCCUCUGAUCUCUUGUGCCAGAACGGCUCCCUGUCCAACCACCAAUGCGUCAGUCUGUAAAAUAAACUCUUUUGAGAAGCUGGGUUGCACCACCAGUGGAGCUUGUGUCAGGCAUGACCUCAGUUGCUGAAAUACUCAUUCGCACUGCCCGACCAGCACACCUUCUUAGGUUGUAUCCCUUUGGUUAAAUCAGUCAAUGGAGCAGCUACCAUUGCAAAGUCAGGUAUAAAACUUCGAUAAUAGCUGACCAGUCCUAAAAAUUGACGGACCUGCUUUUUGAUUGUAGGGGUAUGAUAUUCCGCGAGGGCUUGGACUUUGCUCACUAGGGGCUUUAGCUUCCCCCUUCCUACUGUAUAUCCCAAGUAUGUAACCUCCCACUGUCCUAUAUGACAUUUCUUCAGGUUAGCCAUGAGUCCCGCAUCCUUAAGCGUCCUCAACACCACUUGCAAAUGCUGCAGGAGUUCAGUCCAGGUUAGGCUAUAAAUGACAAUGUCAUCGAUAUAGGCUGCAGCAUAUGGUUGGUGUUCUCUAAGUACCUGGUCUAUCAAUCUCUGAAAUGUUGCCGCAGCCCCAUGCAACCCAAACAGCAUAGUCCUAAACUGAAAUAGCCUAAAGGGGGUAGAAAAAGUGGUCUUUUCCCUGGACAUAAGCGUCAAUGGAAUCUGUCAGUACCCCUUUGUUAAAUCUAAUGUCGAAUGUGAGCUUGUCCCAGCCUCUCCGAAAGUUCAUCCACCGAGGGCAUCGGGUAGGCGUAGAACCGAGAAAUAGCGUUUACCUUAUAAAAGUCAAUACAGAAAUGAACGGCUCCAUUCGGCCGUGGCACUAAGACUAUUGAACUUUGCCAGUCCCCGUGGGAUACUUCGAAACAUAUUCUGCACUUCCUCUCGCACCGUGUCCCACAUUUUUCUUGGCAGUGGGCGUAUUGGAUUGCGUACUUUGUGUCCUGGGACCGUUGCAAUAUGGUGACUCACUAAUGAGGUGCAUCCUGGUGUCGCGGACAAUACCUUUUGGUACCAGGUAAUUGCACAUAUCAGCCGCAGCCUCUGGGAGGUGGGGACCGGAGAGUGCAGUGCAGGCGAGCUGGCUGGCCUGCGGGAGUGGAGCCGCACUCGCGCCCAGGCAAGUAAAAAUAAACUUAUAUACCCCACAGAUAUGUACACCCCGUGGUGGAGUUGCGGGGUUUUGUAAAACUUUGUAUAACCCGCGGGUUAUAUGUGCUAAAACACA